UGGGGAGUCGUCCAGUGGUAGGACACAUGACUCUGGAUCAUGGAACCGGGGUUCGAAUCCCUGCUCCCCAGCCA
rnacentral:tRNA from 1 species